rnacentral:lncRNA from 1 species
AAGUUAAUAAACCAAGAGUGUCUAUAAAGCAUGUAAUAGGCCAAAUUAGCCCGGGCCCAUACCAAAUAAACAGAUCAAACAAAUGCAAAAAAGGCCCAAAUUACAAGUAGGCCUAUACGACCCAAAAAUAAAACAUAGGCCCAAUUUGCGGUGGCCCAAAAUCGUCAGAAACCCUAGGGUUUCUAAUCUUCAACAGCGCCGCAAGACAGGUCCUCCGAAUCUCCGCGAUCUCCACCUGCAAGGAAACUAACAGCAAAAGGAAAGAAAAUCAAAGAUUUGUAGAUCAAAUAGAUUUUCUUUUGAUUUCUUUUUAUUCUUAUUUCGGUUAUAAAAAGCCAUUAAGAACACUGUAAUAAGGAUCGGAUUUUGAGGUUGAAAUCAAUAAAAGAAAAAGCACGAUUAUUUUCGCUAAAUAAGGGAUCAAUCAUUACACCAAAAUGUUUUUUUUUUCUAUUUUGUUUAUCACUUGUUUUUUAUUUUGUGUUAUUGAAAUACAAUAAAACAAAAACAUAAAGAACUUAUCUAGGCUCGCUUUUGAAAUGUCGUUUGGGCGGCCGAUGUUCGUCUCCGAGGAUAGACAAUCGGAAGCCGAAGGAUUUUUUUGUUUUUGAGGCGCUUUGGUUCACUUUUAGAAGGUUUUAAGCCCAGAUUCGGAUUUAGAGGGAUCUAAAAGGGCGAGUAACGGUUUUCCCCUUUUCUAGCCAC